rnacentral:rRNA from 1 species
CGCUCUUUGCAAAAAAAUUAUAGUAUAAAGAGUUCUGCCUGCCCAGUGACGUUGUUAAACGGCCGCGGUAUCUUGACCGUGCAAAGGUAGCAUAAUCAUUUGCCUUUUAAAUGGGGGCUGGUAUGAAUGGCAAGACGGGGGUUAAGCUGUCUUUUUCUUUUAUCUUGAAAUUAAUAUUUUUGUGAAGAAGCAAAAAUUUGUUCGUAGGACGAGAAGACCCUGUCGAGCUUUAAUAUUUACAUUCUAACAAGGUGUUUUAACUUAAAAAAUCUAAUUAAAUUAAACUUAGAAAAAAAAGUUAGUUUUUACAAGAAAAAUUGGAUUAGUGUGGUUAUUUUGAUUGGGGCAAUCAUGGAGAAAACAAAUCCUCCAUUAAUAUAAGAAAAAAGAUACAACUUUGAUAAAAAAUUAAAUGACCCGGCCAAAGCGGUCGAGCAAAGGAAUAAGUUACCGCAGGGAUAACAGCGUAAUUUUUUUGGAGAGUUCAUAUUGAUAAAAAAGUUUGCGACCUCGAUGUUGGAUCGGGAUUUCCUAGAAAUGCAGCAGUUUCUAAGGGUUGGUCUGUUCGACCAUUAAAAUCCUACGUG